rnacentral:rRNA from 1 species
UACGUAGGGGGCAAGCGUUAUCCGGAUUUACUGGGUUUAAAGGGUGCGUAGGCGGGCUUUUAAGUCAGUGGUGAAAACUUCGAGCUUAACUCGAAAACUGCCAUUGAUACUAUUAGUCUUGAAUUUAGUUGAGGUUGGCGGAAUGUGUCGUGUAGCGGUGAAAUGCUUAGAUAUGACACAGAACACCGAUUGCGAAGGCAGCUGGCUAAACUAAAAUUGACGCUGAGGCACGAAAGUGUGGGGAUCAAACAGG